rnacentral:misc_RNA from 1 species
AACAAGGCGCAUGCCUACUUCUGUCCAAAACCACCUCAAACUGGUUCUGAAUGCAUCUCUUAUAACAUAUAAUGUUUCUCCUUUCCUUAUGAAUGGCCAAACAUAACAUAAACAUUGUUACAGGAAUAUAAAUAUAUGAAGCAAAAUGCAUUAAGAAAGUAAAUACUUUCCCAUUAAGGAUUUCCACCUCAAUUAAAUCCACAAUGACACUACAAUGCAGAUUAAAACUAAGACAAAAAUUUUAAUUAGUUCAUGCCCGUUUUAAAGAAAAAGAAGAUGUCAGGAACCUGUUGAAAAACAAAGGUUGCAGGCACAAAAAGGAUGGCCUGAUCAGAUUCCAAGCUCAGAAAAGGGAAAGACCCAAGAAAAUGCCAAUGUACUUCCUCAUUUCCAUAAUUAAUUUCCGCACAUCUAUAACAACAGUGUUCUAAAAUCUAUAACACAUUUCUUGCAAGAUACACUUACUAUG